CUACGGGAGGCAGCAGUAGGGAAUAUUGGUCAAUGGGUGAGAGCCUGAACCAGCCAUGCCGCGUGCAGGAAGACGGCCUUCUGGGUUGUAAACUGCUUUUGCCAGGGGAUAAAAAGGUCAUGCGUGACCCAUUGAAGGUACCUGGUGAAUAAGCACCGGCUAACUACGUGCCAGCAGCCGCGGUAAUACGUAGGGUGCAAGCGUUGUCCGGAUUUAUUGGGUUUAAAGGGUGCGUAGGCGGCUCGUUAAGUCAGUGGUGAAAACCAGCAGCUCAACUGUUGAUGUGCCAAUGAUACUGGCGGGCUUGAGUACAGAUGAGGUAGGCGGAAUUGACAGUGUAGCGGUGAAAUGCAUAGAUAUUGUCAAGAACACCGAUAGCGAAGGCAGCUUGCUAGCCUGUAACUGACGCCGAGGCACGAAAGUGUGGGGAUCAAACAGGAUUAGAAACCCCGGUAGUCC
rnacentral:rRNA from 1 species